rnacentral:rRNA from 1 species
UACGUAGGGGGCGAGCGUUGUCCGGAUUUAUUGGGCGUAAAGAGCUCGUAGGCGGUUUGGUAAGUUGGAUUUGAAAUCUCCAGGCUCAACUUAGAGGGGUCAUUCGAUACUGCCAUGACUAGAGUUCGGUAGGGGAGUGUGGAAUUCCUGGUGGAGCGGUGAAAUGCGCAGAUAUCAGGAGGAACACCCGUAGCGAAGGCGGCACUCUGGGCAGGAACUGACGCUGAGGAGCGAAAGCGUGGGGAGCGAACAGG